GAUGAACGCUGGCGGCGUGCUUAAUACAUGCAAGUCGAACGGAAAGGCGCUGCGCUUGCGGGGCGCACGAGUGGCGAACGGGGGAGUAUAACGCGAGUAACCUGUACUUGACUUACGGAUAACACCACGGAACAGCGGCUAUUAUCGGAUAGGAGAUACUGCUGCACGGGGGGGGAUAGUAAGAGACGGCGGUUGGGGAUGGACUCGCGGGUUACGGGCUGGUUGGGGGGGUAGUGGAGUUCAAAGCUUUCGAAGGGUAGCCGGCCUGGGAGGGUGACCAGCCACAAUGGGACUGAGAUACGCACCAGACGCCUACGUGAGGCAGCAGUGGGGAAUAUUGCGCAGUGGGCGGAAGCCUGAUGCAGCAGCGUCGCGAUCGGGAUGACGGCCUUCGAGUUGUGAACCGCUUUCUCCUGUGACGUAGCGUGAGUGACGGUAAUGGGUAAGGAAGCACCGGCUAACUACGUG
rnacentral:rRNA from 1 species